UUGAUCCUGGCUCAGAAUCAACGCUGGCGGCGUGCCUAACACAUGCAAGUCGAACGAGAAAGUGGAGCAAUCCAUGAGUAAAGUGGCGACCGGGUGAGUUACACGUGACUAACCUACCUUCGAGUGGGGGAUAACAUCGGGAAACCGAUUCUAAUACCGCAUAACAUCGCAAGAUCAAAGCAGCAAUGCGCUUGAAGAGUGGGUCGCGGCUGAUUAGCUAGUUGGUAGGGUAAUGGCCUACCAAGGCUUUGAUCGGUAGCCGGCCUGAGAGGGCGCACGGCCACACUGGAACUGAAACAUGGUCCAGACUCCUACGGGAGGCAGCAGUGGGGAAUUUUGCGCAAUGGGGUAAACCCUGACGCAGCAACGCCGCGUGGAGGAUGAAGUCCCUUGGGACGUUAACUCCUUUCGACCGGGAAGAUACUGACGGUACCGGAAGAAGAGGCACCUGCUAACUCUGUGCCAGCAGCCGCGGUAAUU
rnacentral:rRNA from 1 species